UACGGAGGGUGCAAGCGUUAUCCGGAUUCACUGGGUUUAAAGGGUGCGUAGGUGGGUUUGUAAGUCAGUGGUGAAAUCUCCGGGCUUAACUCGGAAACUGCCAUUGAUACUAUAGAUCUUGAAUUUUCUGGAGGUAAGCGGAAUAUGUCAUGUAGCGGUGAAAUGCUUAGAUAUGACAUAGAACACCAAUUGCGAAGGCAGCUUGCUACAGGAAUAUUGACACUGAGGCACGAAAGCGUGGGGAUCAAACAGG
rnacentral:rRNA from 1 species